rnacentral:SRP_RNA from 1 species
GCUGGGCACGGAGCUGCAUGCCUGUAGUCCCAGCUGAGGAAGGAGGAUUGCUUGAGCCCAGGAGUUCUGGGCUGUAGUGCACUAUGCCGAUCAGCUGACAACAGUAAGUUUGGCAUCGAUAUGGUGACCUGGGAGCUGGGGACCCCCAGGUUGCCUAAGGAGGGGUAAAUGGUCCCAGGUUGGAAAUGGAGCAGGUCAAAGCUCCCAUGCUGAUCAGUAGUGGGAUUGCACCUAUGAAUAGUCACUGCACUCGAGCCUGGGCAACAUAGUGAGACCAUGUCUCUU